GGCUAUCAAUUGAAUGCCCAUUCUGUUCCAAAAGUUUCAUACACAAAUGGGGCAUUGAUUUUGAAAGAUUAAUUCGUAAUUUCACUCAUGCAAAGGUGAGGUGAUUUUUAUUUUGAGAAAUCAAUACACAAAAUGUGAUUUGAAUUUUAAUUUUGAAAUGUGACCAAGAAAGAAUUUUAUUGAAAAUUUGAUUUUAAGUCUAUGCCCCAAAAUGUAAUCUUGACUUGGAAGAAUUUCU
rnacentral:lncRNA from 1 species